rnacentral:rRNA from 1 species
UUUUAUGGAGAGUUUGAUCCUGGCUCAGGAUGAACGCUGGCGGCGUGCCUAAUACAUGCAAGUCGAGCGAACGGACGAGAAGCUUGCUUCUCUGAUGUUAGCGGCGGACGGGUGAGUAACACGUGGAUAACCUACCUAUAAGACUGGGRUAACUUCGGGAAACCGGAGCUAAUACCGGAUAAUAUUUUGAACCGCAUGGUUCAAAAGGGAAAGACGGUCUUGCUGUCACUUAUAGAUGGAUCCGCGCUGCAUUAGCUAGUUGGKAAGGUAACGGCUUACCAAGGCAACGAUGCAUAGCCGACCUGAGAGGGUGAUCGGCCACACUGGAACUGAGA